GAUGAACGCUGGCGGCGUGCCUAAUACAUGCAAGUCGAGCGAACAGACGAGGAGCUUGCUCCUCUGACGUUAGCGGCGGACGGGUGAGUAACACGUGGAUAACCUACCUAUAAGACUGGGAUAACUUCGGGAAACCGGAGCUAAUACCGGAUAAUAUAUUGAACCGCAUGGUUCAAUAGUGAAAGACGGUUUUGCUGUCACUUAUAGAUGGAUCCGCGCCGCAUUAGCUAGUUGGUAAGGUAACGGCUUACCAAGGCAACGAUGCGUAGCCGACCUGAGAGGGUGAUCGGCCACACUGGAACUGAGACACGGUCCAGAUUCCUACGGGAGGCAGCAGUAGGGAAUCUUCCGCAAUGGGCGAAAGCCUGACGGAGCAACGCCGCGUGAGUGAUGAAGGUCUUCGGAUCGUAAAACUCUGUUAUUAGGGAAGAACAAAUGUGUAAGUAACUAUGCACGUCUUGACGGUACCUAAACAGAAAGCCACGGCUAACUACGUG
rnacentral:rRNA from 1 species